rnacentral:rRNA from 2 species
GAAGGAACGUUGAAGACGACGACGUUGAUAGGCCGGGUGUGUAAGCGCAGCGAUGCGUUGAGCUAACCGGUACUAAUGAACCGUGAGGCUUAACCUUACAACGCCGAAGGUGUUU